rnacentral:rRNA from 1 species
GACGAACGCUGGCGGCGUGCUUAACACAUGCAAGUCGAACGGAAAGGCCCUGCUUUUGUGGGGUGCUCGAGUGGCGAACGGGUGAGUAACACGUGAGUAACCUGCCCUUGACUUUGGGAUAACUUCAGGAAACUGGGGCUAAUACCGGAUAGGAGCUCCUGCUGCAUGGUGGGGGUUGGAAAGUUUCGGCGGUUGGGGAUGGACUCGCGGGUUAUCAGCUUGUUGGUGGGGUAGUGGCUUACCAAGGCUUUGACGGGUGGGCGGCCUGAGAGGGUGACCGGCCACAUUGGGACUGAGGUACGGCGCAGUCUCCUACGGGAGGCAGCAGGGGGGAAUAUUGCACAAUGGGGGGGAGUCUGAUGCAGCGACGCCGCGUGCGGGAUGACGGCCUUCGGGUUGUAAACCGCUUUCGCCUGUGACGAAGCGUGAGUGACGGUAAUGGGUAAAGAAGCACCGGCUAACUACGUG